rnacentral:rRNA from 1 species
UACGUAGGGUGCAAGCGUUGUCCGGAAUUAUUGGGCGUAAAGGGCUCGUAGGCGGUCCAUCGCGUCGGGAGUGAAAAGCUGGGGGCUCAACCCCAGUCCUGCUUCCGAUACGGGUGGACUAGAGGUAUGCAGGGGAGAACGGAAUUCCUGGUGUAGCGGUGGAAAUGCGCAGAUAUCAGGAGGAACACCGGUGGCGAAGGCGGUUCUCUGGGCAUUACCUGACGCUGAGGAGCGAAAGCGUGGGGAGCAAACAGG